CCGAGCCCUCAGUGGGAACCUGUUCUGGUGCUAUUCCAGUCUGUGGAAGCUUCGUUCUUUUGCUCUUUGCAAUAAAUCUUGCUACUGCUCACUACUUGGGUCCAUGCUGCCUUUAUGAGCUGCAACACUCACCGUGAAGGUCUGCACCUUCACUCCUGAGCCAGCGGGACCACGAACCCACCAGAAGGAAGAAACUCUGGACAGGCCACCUUUAAGAACCGUAACACUCAGGCGAGGUUCUGCGGUCUCAUUCUUGGAGUCAGUGAGACCAAGAACCCACCAAUUCCGGACACGAGUGCAGAGUUGAUGUGAGAAGAAGCUAAUAUGGUAUGAAAUGCACCCAUCUCAGUUUUUGACAUAUGGUAUUAAAUGCACCCAUCUCGGUUUUUGACAUAUGGCACCAGGAUUACAAAGCUUAACAAGUCAUGAUUUAGAUUCAGAAAUCAUGAUUUCCACUCAGAUUACAAAGAGUGGAAAAGGUCGUAUUCUUUCUUAUGAGGAAACAAGAACUGAGGUUGCUGCAGAUCCACAUGGAUAUGCCUCUGGUUACAUAUUUUGGUGCCAUGUGAGCAUGUCCUACUCUGGUGGAUUUUUUUUUUUUUCAUCUCUGAGCUUGACCUGAGAUUGACCAUCUGACCUGAGCUAUAAUUUUGACAUAAAUUUUAACUAAAAG
rnacentral:lncRNA from 1 species